rnacentral:rRNA from 1 species
UACGAAGGGGGCUAGCGUUGUUCGGAAUCACUGGGCGUAAAGCGCACGUAGGCGGGUCGUUAAGUCGGGGGUGAAAUGCCAAGGCUCAACCUUGGAACUGCCUUCGAUACUGGCGAUCUCGAGUCCGGGAGAGGUGAGUGGAACUCCGAGUGUAGAGGUGAAAUUCGUAGAUAUUAGCAGGAACACCGGUGGCGAAGGCGGCUAUCUGGCCAAUCACUGACGCUGAGGCGCGAAAGCACGGGGAUCAAACAGG